GACGAACGCUGGCGGCGUGCUUAACACAUGCAAGUCGAACGGAAAGGCCCUGCUUUUGUGGGGUGCUCGAGUGGCGAACGGGUGAGUAACACGUGAGUAACCUGCCCUUGACUUUGGGAUAACUUCAGGAAACUGGGGCUAAUACCGGAUAGGAGCUCCUGCUGCAUGGUGGGGGUUGGAAAGUUUCGGCGGUUGGGGAUGGACUCGCGGCUUAUCAGCCUGUUGGUGGGGUAGUGGCUUACCAAGGCUUUGACGGGUAGCCGGCCUGAGAGGGUGACCGGCCAAAUGGGGAAGGAGAAACGGCCCAGACUCCUAGGGGGGGAAGGAGGGGGGAAUAGUGCAAAAGGGGCGGAAGGCUGAUGCAGCAACCCCGGGGGGGGGAAGAGGGCCUUGGGGUUGUAAACCGCUUUCGCAUGGGACGAAGGGUGGGGGAGGGGAAGGGGUAAAGAAGCACCGGCUAAAUACGU
rnacentral:rRNA from 1 species